AUUGAACGCUGGCGGCAGGCUUAACACAUGCAAGUCGAGCGGAGCGAGGGUGCUUGCACCUUAGCUUAGCGGCGGACGGGUGAGUAAUGCUUAGGAAUCUGCCUAUUAGUGGGGGACAACAUUCCGAAAGGAAUGCUAAUACCGCAUACGCCCUACGGGGGAAAGCAGGGGAUCUUCGGACCUUGCGCUAAUAGAUGAGCCUAAGUCGGAUUAGCUAGUUGGGGGGGUAAAGGCCUACCAAGGCGACGAUCUGUCGCGGGUCUGAGAGGAUGAGCCGCCACACUGGGACUGAGACACGGCCCAGACUCCUACGGGAGGCAGCAGUGGGGAAUAUUGGACAAUGGGCGGAAGCCUGAUCCAGCCAUGCCGCGUGUGUGAAGAAGGCCUUUUGGUUGUAAAGCACUUUAAGCGAGGAGGAGGCUACUUAGAUUAAUACUCUGGGAUAGUGGACGUUACUCGCAGAAUAAGAACCGGCUAACUCUGUGCCAGCAGCCGCGGUAA
rnacentral:rRNA from 1 species